GACGAACGCUGGCGGCGCGCCUAACACAUGCAAGUCGAACGAGCGAGAGAGAGCUUGCUUUCUCGAGCGAGUGGCGAACGGGUGAGUAACGCGUGAGGAACCUGCCUCAAAGAGGGGGACAACAGUUGGAAACGACUGCUAAUACCGCAUAAGCCCACGACCCGGCAUCGGGUAGAGGGAAAAGGAGCAAUCCGCUUUGAGAUGGCCUUGCGUCCGAUUAGCUAGUUGGUGAGGUAACGGCCCACCAAGGCGACGAUCGGUAGCCGGACUGAGAGGUUGAACGGCCACAUUGGGACUGAGACACGGCCCAGACUCCUACGGGAGGCAGCAGUGGGGAAUAUUGCACAAUGGGGGAAACCCUGAUGCAGCGACGCCGCGUGGAGGAAGAAGGUCUUCGGAUUGUAAACUCCUGUUGUUGAGGAAGAUAAUGACGGUACUCAACAAGGAAGUGACGGCUAACUACGUG
rnacentral:rRNA from 1 species